ACGAACCGUGCGAACGUUAUUCGGAAUCACUGGGCUUAAAGCGCGUGUAGGCGGAUGGGCGCAUCGAUCGCUGAAAUCCCCCGGCUCAACCGGGGAACUGGCGUCGAGAUGGCCCGUCUCGAGGGGGGUAGGGGGACCUGGAACUUCCGGUGGAGCGGUGAAAUGCGUUGAGAUCGGAAGGAACGCCCGUGGCGAAAGCGAGGUCCUGGACCCUUUCUGACGCUGAGACGCGAAAGCCAGGGGAGCAAACGG
rnacentral:rRNA from 1 species